UUCGCAAUGCCCGAAAGGGCGACGAAGCGACGCCGCGUGGAUGAAGGAGGCCUUCGGGUUGUAAAAUCCUGUCAGGAGUUAAGAAAUAUAAGUUUGAUAAUACCAAAUUUAUUUGACAAAGGCUCCAGAGGAAGCCACGGCUAACUCUGUGCCAGCAGCCGCGGUAAUACAGAGGUGGCAAGCGUUGUUCGGAAUUAUUGGGCGUAAAGAGCACGUAGGUGGAUUUGUUAGUCAGAUGUGAAAGCCUUUCGUUCAACGGAAGAAUUGCAUCUGAAACUACAAACCUUGAGUAUAGGAGGGGAGAGUGGAACUUCUGGUGGAGCGGUGAAAUGCGUAGAUAUCAGAAGGAACGCCGGCGGCGAAAGCGACUCUCUGGCCUAUAACUGACACUGAGUGUGCGAAAGCUAGGGGAG
rnacentral:rRNA from 1 species